AAGUCCCAGAAGUCAUUGCGACUGGAGAGGCCUUCUGUUCAAAUCUAUCUGUGCUGUUCCGUGUGCCUUCAGCAGAUCUCAUUUGUGAGACGUCCGUCAGCUGUCAGAAAAGCUUGAAUGCUCUAAUGGUCUGCUGAAUUCAACACACCAUCAGGAAAUAAAGCACUCGCCCCCUUUCCACCAAGCCUUUGCCAGUGCUGCAGUUUCUAUCUCUAUAAUAUUCAAGUAAGUUAUUCAUCAAUCUCUCAACACUGCCUCUGUGUUUACCACAAUCAACAUGUAAUGAGAAACACACUUUUGUAAACACCCUUAACAAUUUAAGGAAUCUGAGAGCUCUGCAUAAAACAAAUAUUUUCAAAUGCUGUAUGCAUCUAUAUCCCCAGGUAAUCCCCGCUGAGGAAAGUCGAGGAGUCGGCAACACACUGUCACUUCAACUCUGUUUCUCAGGCUCGUGGGAAAUCAAAGAAGAGAAAGCAAGAAAGAGACAGAGAGGAAGCUGGAACAGGAGAGGGGAAGGCGUAGAGAGAAAAUGAUCACACUAAACAAACAAAUUUGCCACAUUCGUGCGAAAGCGGCAAAUGCUUCCUAUCCACCAUCACAGAAGUUCUGUGUUACUUAAAGGGUUAGUUAACAUUGACUUCCCAUGUCAAUGUCAUUAU